rnacentral:rRNA from 1 species
CGGGGUGCAGCAGGCGCGAAAACUCUACAAUGCAGGCAACUGCGAUAGGGGAACAUCGAGUGGUCCUCAUAUUGGGGGCCUGUCCUCCCGCCUAAAAAGCGGGAGUUAGCAAGGGCCGGGCAAGACCGGUGCCAGCCGCCGCGGUAAUACCGGCGGCUCGAGUGGUGGCCGAUAUUAUUGAGUCUAAAGGGUCCGUAGCCGGCUUUGCAAGUCUCUCGGGAAAUCCAGCGGCUUAACCGUUGGUCGUCCGGGGGGUACUACAUUGCUUGGGACUGGGAGAGGUAGGAGGUACUCAGGGGGUAGGAGUGAAAUCCUGUAAUCCUUUGGGGACCACCGGUGGCGAAGGCGUCCUACCAGAACAGGUCCGACGGUGAGGGACGAAAGCUAGGGGCACGAACCGGAUUAGAUACCCGGGUAGUCCUAGCCGUAAACGAUGCUCGCUAGGUGUCACAACAGUCGUGAACUGUUGUGGUGCCGUAGGGAAGCCGUGAAGCGAGCCACUUGGGAAGUACGACCGCAAGGUUGAAACUUAAAGGAAUUGGCGGGGGAGCAC